rnacentral:rRNA from 1 species
AGUGAACGCUGGCGGUAGGCCUAACACAUGCAAGUCGAACGGCAGCACAGUAAGAGCUUGCUCUUACGGGUGGCGAGUGGCGGACGGGUGAGGAAUACAUCGGAAUCUACUUUUUCGUGGGGGAUAACGUAGGGAAACUUACGCUAAUACCGCAUACGACCUACUGGUGAAAGCAGGGGAUCUUCGGACCUUGCGCGAUUGAAUGAGCCGAUGUCGGAUUAGCUAGUUGGCUGGGUAAAGGCCCACCAAGGCGACGAUCCGUAGCUGGUCUGAGAGGAUGAUCAGCCACACUGGAACUGAGACACGGUCCAGACUCCUACGGGAGGAAGCAGUGGGGAAUAUUGGACAAUGGGCGAGAGCCUGAUCCAGCAAUACCGCGUGAGUGAAGAAGGCCUUCGGGUUGUAAAGCCCUUUUGUUGGGAAAGAAAAGAAGCAGGUUAAUACCCGGCUGUUAUGACGGUACCCAAAGAAUAAGCACCGGCUAACUUCGUG